rnacentral:ncRNA from 1 species
UUCUGGUUUUUUUUUUGUUUUGCAGGCAGCGGUUGGAGCGGACGUGGUCGGGGAGCGACCGGCGGCACGGACCCAACCCAACCCAACCAUCUCGUUCCCGCCGCGUCCUCUCUUCUUCCGCCGUGGACUCAUCGGUCCAGACUCCCACGGGAGGCAGCAGUGGAGAAUUUUCCGCAAUGGGCGAAAGCCUGACGGAGCAAUGCCGCGUGGAGGUGGAAGGCCCACGGGUCGUCAACGUCUCCAACGCCACAUGACACGACGCGACGCGACGCGACGCGAGAAAAAGUCAAAAGCAGCAGCAGCGGCGGAGCAACCAA